GCCAGCCACCUUUGACAGCAGAGAGCUUGUUAAAAGAGCUAAAUGUCAUUGAAAAUGUGCUGUUAAUCCUACUCGUCAACAAAUGUUAACCACGAAGUGAUAAUAAAGAGAAGAAAGAAAAGAUGUGGCUCCAAUCGGGAUUAUGCUUGUUUCAUGCAGGAGGAGCAUGUUAACCUUCAAAAGCUUGACUGGAUUAAAUGAAAACAAGGAAAACUCACGUCUAAGAAAGGUCUCAGAUACAAGAGGAGACUGGAAAAAGAUCAGCAAACUUCGUGCAGGACUCGAGCCUUACGGGCACGCCUCUCACCCAGAAAUAGCCCUCUUGUCUUGUGAGCUAACACACAUCUUGACACUCACUGCUUGUAAAGUGUUUUGGAGCAUCUUCACUGGAAGCACUAUAAAAAAAAAUCCCAACUGUUGUGUCCAAGUUUCUACAACACUGAUGUCAGCAGCAGGGAGCAUGCAACGUGUGUGAUUAUAAAAGGAUAGCACCUUGGAAGAAAGUCACUGCAAUGCUGAAAUGUUGUUUAGGAAAGUGAAUCAAGUCCCUUAUCAAGCAUUAUGACCAAAAACACAUUCUUCAGAACAUCGGGAAGCAUCUAUCCUGCAAUAUGAUAUUGAUUUUACCCAAAUUUAAUAGAUGGCAUAUAUGCAAACUGUAAAGAUGGGAAGAAUAAUAAAGCAUUCAUCCUUUUUACUUCUUAGUGAAAA
rnacentral:lncRNA from 1 species